rnacentral:lncRNA from 1 species
AUAUUUGCAACAGACUGACCUGAUUAUACUACUAUGUUUGAAUGCAACUUACAGAAAGAAAAAUUACAGGAAAAUCUGUUUCUGUUACAGAGAAGAGAAGCUGUGAGAGGUGUCUUAAAGGAAAAAAUAAUGCAUUUAAGUUCACAUGAGAGCCUUUCGGUCUGAUCACAUGUGCCUGUACCAUUAAAGAGAAGGACUGAGACAAGGAGGAUCUGAGCAACAGACCAUGACAACAAUUUCUUGAAAGCACCAGCAAGCUGGAAGUAAAAAUCAUUUAAAUUCCAAGCUACCUGUGCAGAGCUGAGCCGUUGUAUUUUGAGAGAAUUCUUUAAUUUGCUGAAGUGACCGUUUUCUGGUAGUCCAAGAUAUUUACACAUUCUGAUUAAAAUUGACAGAGUCUUUGUUUGGGGUGUCCUGGUUUCAGCUAGGAUAGAGUUAAUUUUCCUCCUAGUACCUGGAAUGGUGCUGUGUUUUGGACUUAGAAUGAGAAUAAUGUUGAUAACACGCUGAUGUUUUGUUUGUUGCAGGUCAGUGCUUAUACUAAGUCAAGGACUUUUUAGCUUCUCACACUGCCCUGCCAGCAAGGAGACUAUGGGUGCACAAGGAGCUGUGAGGGGACAGAACCAGAACAGGUGACCCCAUUGGACAAGGGAUGUCCCAUGCCAUAUGGUGUCAUGGUGAACAAUUAAUAUGGGGUGGCUGGUUGGUUUGGGGGAACUGCUGCUCAGGGCAUC